UCCCCACACUCCCCCAGAAACCCUUCAACAGUACUGAGUAGUCCUAUACCCCUAUAGGAACUUUUAUGUUAAAACUAGUAACAAGAAGAAGACCUUCUCUUAAAUGCACCUGUAAAUCAGAAAGGACCCACCACUGAUAAUUAACGCCCAUGAUCCCAGAGUAAAAACUUAUCUAGAAAACUCUACUAGCCCCAACGUUAACCUAACACAAGAGCAUUUCAAGAAAGAUUAAAAGAAAAAGAAGGAACUCGGCAAAUGUUAACCCCGCCUGUUUACCAAAAACAUCGCCUCUUGAAAAACAUAAGAGGUCCAGCCUGCCCAGUGACAUUGUUUAACGGCCGCGGUAUCCUAACCGUGCGAAGGUAGCGUAAUCACUUGUCCUUUAAAUGAGGACUAGUAUGAAUGGCAUCACGAGGGUUAUUCUGUCUCCUUUCUCUAAUCAGUAAAACUAAUCUCCCCGUGAAGAAGCGGGGAUAUAUAUAUAAGACGAGAAGACCCUAUGGAGCUUUAAACAAAACAACAUUUGUUAAUUCUACCCCUAAAUUUCAGAAAAAUAAUUUUUAUUUUAACAUUGUGUUUGUUAGUUUUAGGUUGGGGUGACCGCGGAGAAAAAAGUAACCUCCACAUUGAAGGGGGCUUCCCCUAAACAGAAAGUCACAACUUUAAGUAUCAACAAAUUGACAUCAAUUGACCCAAUAUUUUGAUCAACGAAACAAGUUACCCUAGGGAUAACAGCGCAAUCCACUUCGAGAGUCCCUAUCGACAGGUGGGUUUACGACCUCGAUGUUGGAUCAGGGUAUCCUAGUGGUGCAGCCGCUACUAAA
rnacentral:rRNA from 1 species